UACCUGGUCGAUCCUGUCAGUAGUCAUGUGCGUGUCUCAAAGAUUAAGUCAUGUAUGUCUAAGUGCAUGCCGAAUUAAGGCUAAAACGCGAAUGACUUAUUAAAUCAGUUAUGGUUCUUUGGAUUGUGCCUUAGAUAACUGCGGUAAUCCUAGAACUAGUACAUGUAGUGGGUAGCUCCAAGCCCCUGGAGAGGAGCGCUUUUGUUAGAUUAAAAUCAAUCGAACUUCAUGUCCGUAUAAUUUGGUAACUGUGAAUAACUUUGAGGUUAUCGCACGAACUCGUCUCGCCAACGUUAUCUUUCAAGUGUCUGUUUUAUCAACUGUCGAUGGUAGAUUGCGCGUCUGCCGCGGUCGUAACGGGUGACGGGCAAUUAGUAUUGGAUUCUGGAGAGGGAAACUGAGAAACUGCUGCCACAUCCAAAGAAGGAAGCAGGCGCGCAAAUGACGCACUCCCAGAAUUGGGAGGUGGUGAUGAAGAAUAACAAUACAGGACUCUUUUGUGAUCCCGUAACUGGAAUGAGUACACUCUAAAUCAUUUAAUGAGGAUCAGCUGGAGGUCAAGUCUGGUGCCAGCAGCCGGGAUGAUUCCACAUCCAGUAAACAUUAAAGUUGUUGCGGAUAAAAACCUCGCGGUUGGAUCUCAAUUCCAGACGAGUGGAUCGCUU
rnacentral:ncRNA from 1 species